GACCUGCGGAGGAUCAUUAAUGAAUAAACUCGGUGGAUUGUUGCUGGCUCUUAGGAGCAUGUGCACAUCUGCCAUUGUUUCAUUCUUUCUCCACCUGUGCACCUUUUGUAGGCUUGGAUAACUCUCAGGGACUGGAUUACAUUCAUUCCUUGGAUAUGAGGAUUGGUUUCAAGAAAAACUCUCCUUUGCAUUUCCAGUCUAUGUUUUUAUAUAUUUACACCCCAUUAGUAUGUCUUUAGAAUGUUUAAUAUUUGGCCUUUAUAGGCUUUAAAACUUUAUACAACUUUCAACAACGGAUCUCUUGGCUCUCGCAUCGAUGAAGAACGCAGCGAAAUGCGAUAAGUAAUGUGAAUUGCAGAAUUCAGUGAAUCAUCGAAUCUUUGAACGCACCUUGCGCUCCUUGGUAUUCCGAGGAGCAUGCCUGUUUGAGUGUCAUUAAAUUCUCAAACCUUUCUGGGUUUAUUCUCAGCUAGGCUUGGAUAUGGGGGCUUUGCCGGCUUUGACAAAGUCAGCUCUCCUGAAAGACAUUAGCAAGACUUUUGUUGCAACCUUCUAUCUGGUGUGAUAAUUAUCUACAUCAUGGAUUGUAUGCAGUUUAUUACGUCUGGCUUCUAACAGUCCAUUAGAUUGGACAGUACUCUGACAAUUUGACCUCAAAUCAGGUAGGA
rnacentral:rRNA from 1 species